rnacentral:rRNA from 1 species
GUACACUCCUGCGGGAGGCAGCAGUGGGGAAUUUUGGACAAUGGGCGAAAGCCUGAUCCAGCAAUGCCGCGUGCAGGAUGAAGGCCUUCGGGUUGUAAACUGCUUUUGUACGGAACGAAAAAGCUCCUUCUAAUACAGGGGGCCCAUGACGGUACCGUAAGAAUAAGCACCGGCUAACUACGUGCCAGCAGCCGCGGUAAUACGUAGGGUGCGAGCGUUAAUCGGAAUUACUGGGCGUAAAGCGUGCGCAGGCGGUUAUGUAAGACAGAUGUGAAAUCCCCGGGCUCAACCUGGGAACUGCAUUUGUGACUGCAUGGCUAGAGUACGGUAGAGGGGGAUGGAAUUCCGCGUGUAGCAGUGAAAUGCGUAGAUAUGCGGAGGAACACCGAUGGCGAAGGCAAUCCCCUGGACCUGUACUGACGCUCAUGCACGAAAGCGUGGGGAGCAAACAGGAUUAGAUACCCGAGUAGUCCCA